GACGAACCGUGCGAACGGUUGUUCGGAAUCACUGGGCUUAAAGGGCGCGUGAGGCGGGGUCCGCAGGUCCGGGGUGAAAGCCUCCAGCUCAACUGGAGAAGGUCGCCUUGGAAACCUGCGGGUCUUGAGGGAGGUGAGGGAGCAUGGUGGAACUUCGGGUGGAGCGGUGAAAUGCGUUGAUAUCCGAAGGAAGCGCCGGUGGCGAAAGCGACAUGCUGGAUCUCUUCUGACGCUGAGGCGCGAAAGCCAGGGUAGCGAACGGG
rnacentral:rRNA from 1 species